rnacentral:rRNA from 1 species
AACGGGUGAGGGACUUUGGGUCACCUCCCACCCGUGUUUAUUUUACCUUGUUGCUUCGGCGGGCCCGCCUUUACUGGCCGCCGGGGGGCUCACGCCCCCGGGCCCGCGCCCGCCGAAGACACCCCCGAACUCUGUCUGAAGAUUGAAGUCUGAGUGAAAAUAUAAAUUAUUUAAAACUUUCAACAACGGAUCUCUUGGUUCCGGCAUCGAUGAAGAACGCAGCGAAAUGCGAUACGUAAUGUGAAUUGCAAAUUCAGUGAAUCAUCGAGUCUUUGAACGCACAUUGCGCCCCCUGGUAUUCCGGGGGGCAUGCCUGUCCGAGCGUCAUUGCUGCCCUCAAGCCCGGCUUGUGUGUUGGGCCCCGUCCUCCGAUUCCGGGGGACGGGCCCGAAAGGCAGCGGCGGCACCGCGUCCGGUCCUCGAGCGUAUGGGGCUUUGUCACCCGCUCUGUAGGCCCGGCCGGCGCUUGCCGAUCAACCCAAAUUUUUAUCCAGGUUGACCUCGGAUCAGGUAGGGAUACCCGCUGAACUUAAGCAUAUCAAUAAGCCGGAGGAA